rnacentral:rRNA from 1 species
AUUGAACGCUGGCGGCAUGCCUUACACAUGCAAGUCGAACGGCAGCACGGGGCAACCUGGUGGCGAGUGGCGAACGGGUGAGUAAUGCAUCGGAACGUACCUUUCAGUGGGGGAUAACGUCGCGCAAGUUACGCCAAUACCGCAUAUUCUGUGAGCAGGAACGCAGGGGAUCGCAAGACCUUGCGCUGAUUGAGCGGCCGGUGUCAGAUUAGCUAGUUGUUGAGGUAAAGGCUCACCAAGGCGACGAUCUGUAGCGGGUCUGCGAGGAUGAGCCGCCACAGUGGAACUGAGACACGGUCCAGACUCCUACGGGAGGCAGCAGUGGGGAAUUUUGGACAAUGGGGGCAACCCUGAUCCAGCCAUGCCGCGUGAGUGAAGAAGGCCUUCGGGUUGUAAAGCUCUUUCGGCCGGGAAGAAAUCGCACGGGCUAAUACCCUGUGUGGAUGACGGUACCGGAAUAAGAAGCACCGGCUAACUACGUGCCAGCCGCCGCCGUAAAAC